rnacentral:rRNA from 1 species
UACGUAGGGACCAAGCGUUGUUCGGAUUUACUGGGCGUAAAGGGCGCGUAGGCGGCGCGGUAAGUCACUUGUGAAAUCUCUGAGCUUAACUCAGAACGGCCAAGUGAUACUGCAGUGCUAGAGUGUGGAAGGGGCAAUCGGAAUUCUUGGUGUAGCGGUGAAAUGCGUAGAUAUCAAGAGGAACACCUGCGGCGAAGGCGGGUUGCUGGGCCGAACACGUGACGCUGAGGCGCGAAAGCCAGGGGAGCGAACGGG